CCUCCAGACUCCUACGGGAGGCAGCAGUGAGGAAUAUUGGUCAAUGGGCGAGAGCCUGAACCAGCCAAGUCGCGUGAAGGAUGAAGGAUCUAUGGUUUGUAAACUUCUUUUAUAUGGGAAUAAAGUGAGGAACGUGUUCCUUUUUGUACGCACCAUAUGAAUAAGCAUCGGCUAACUCCGUGCCAGCAGCCGCGGUAAUACGGAGGAUGCGAGCGUUAUCCGGAUUUAUUGGGUUUAAAGGGUGCGCAGGCGGAGGCACAAGUCAGCGGUAAAAUCGCGGGGCUCAACCCCGCUCCGCCGUUGAAACUGUGUCCCUUGAGUGCGCGAAGGGUAGGCGGAAUGCGUGGUGUAGCGGUGAAAUGCAUAGAUAUCACGCAGAACUCCGAUCGCGAAGGCAGCCUACCGGCGCGCAACUGACGCUCAUGCACGAAAGCGUGGGUAUCGAACAGGAUUAGAUACCCCCGUAC
rnacentral:rRNA from 1 species